rnacentral:rRNA from 1 species
GACGAACGCUGGCGGCGUGCUUAACACAUGCAAGUCGAACGGAAAGGCCCUGCUUUUGUGGGGUGCUCGAGUGGCGAACGGGUGAGUAACACGUGAGUAACCUGCCCUUGACUUUGGGAUAACUUCAGGAAACUGGGGCUAAUACCGGAUAGGAGCUCCUGCUGCAUGGUGGGGGUUGGAAAGUUUCGGCGGUGGGGGAUGGACUCGCGGCUUAUCAGCUUGUUGGUGGGGUAGUGGCUUACCAAGGCUUUGACGGGUAGCCGGCCUGAGAGGGUGACCGGCCACCUUGGGACUGAGAUACGGCCCAGACUCCUACGGGAGGCAGCAGUGGGGAAUAUUGCACAAUGGGCGGAAGCCUGAUGCAGCAACCCCGCGUGCGGGAUGACGGCCUUCGGGUUGUAAACCGCUUUCGCCUGUGACGAAGCGUGAGUGACGGUAAUGGGUAAAGAAGCACCGGCUAACUACGUG